rnacentral:rRNA from 1 species
CCCCCUCGCCGAAAGACUAAGGUUUCCUGAUCAACGCUAAUCGGAUCAGGGUUAGUCGGGUCCUAAGGCUCAGCCGAACGGUGAGGCCGAUGGCAGAACAGGUUAAUAUUCCUGUACUACCUUUCAGAGUGACGUGGAGACGGAGCAGUGACAGCGCCGCGGACUGACGGAAUAGUCCGUUGAAGGGUGUAGAUAUUGAUCUUUGCAGGCAAAUCCACAAAGAGAGUCGAACCUGAUAGUAUACCAAUUCCUCCGGGAAACGGUAAUAGCGCGUGUAAGCAUACUCCCAAGAAAAUCCGCUAAACUUAAUCUUUAAGGUACCCGUACCGCAAACGGACACACGUAGUCGGGUUGAAUAUACUAAGGCGCUUGAGUGAUUCACGGUUAAGGAACUAGGCAAACUGACCCUGUAACUUCGGGAUAAAGGGUCCCAACGAGAGUUGGGCGCAGAGAAUAGGUCCAGGCAACUGUUUAACAAAAACACAGGGCUGUGCCAAAUUGAAAGAUCACGUAUACAGCCUGACACCUGCCCGGUGCUGGAAGGUUAAGAGGAGAUGUCAUCGCAAGAGAAGCAUUGAAUUGAAGCCCCAGUAAACGGCGGCCGUAACUAUAACGGUCCUAAGGUAGCGAAAUUCCUUGUCGGGUAAGUUCCGACCUGC